AACCAGACAGUAGUUGAGCACUAGAAUGCUAAACACAGCUAGUUAGCGUUGUUGUGCCAGAGGUUGUACAAUGGUGCAUGGUUAUGCAGUUGGGGCCACUUCGAGGGUAGUGCGUACGGCCCAGUACAUCACUAGGGACAAGUUCCUGCCAUCCAGGACCUCUAUACCAGGAAGUGUCAGAAGAAGGCCCUAAAAAUUGUCAAAGACUCCAGCCAUGCUAGUCAAGUACUGUAAUGCCAAGAGUGUGCAAAGCUGUCAGUAAGGCAAAGGGUGGCUACUUUGAAGAAUCUAAAAUAGAAAAUAUAUUUUGGUUUGUUUAACACA